GGUGCUCUGUAAGAAACCAGAAAGGAGGUUAAUGGCAGCAUCCCAGAGAGCAAGGAAAGAAAGAGGGUGCGCUACAGCCACAGCUCUAAGCAGCUGCCUACGAAUUGCACGGCCAGUGAAAGAGGGGAUGCUUUCUCCUUGCCAUGAGUGAAAUGUCUGCACAUUACUUUGUGCAAGCGAUGCCCAAGUCAUUGAAUUCUCUAGAAUAGGUGCACACUGACAUGAUCGUAACAAGUACAAGCAAUCUUGUUAUUAGAGAACAAAGAGAACCUGAAUUGCCUCUGGAAGUUCCAGACUUCUGUGACCAGGCACCACUUCAGUGAUCUGGAUCUUCUUUUCUCAAUGAAAGCGAAUCAUACUCACGGGUAUCCAAGAAAGAGGAGAUUGAGAACAGAAUGGCUACGGAAGAGAUUGACCAGAGUC